GAUGAAGAACGCAGCGAAAUGCGAUAAGUAAUGUGAAUUGCAGAAUUCAGUGAAUCAUCGAAUCUUUGAACGCACAUUGCGCCCGCCAGUAUUCUGGCGGGCAUGCCUGUUCGAGCGUCAUUACAACCCUCAGGCCCCCGGGCCUGGCGUUGGGGAUCGGCGGAAGCCCCCUGUGGGCACACGCCGUCCCUCAAAUACAGUGGCGGUCCCGCCGCAGCUUCCAUUGCGUAGUAGCUAACACCUCGCAACUGGAGAGCGGCGCGGCCAUGCCGUAAAACACCCAACUUCUGAAUGUUGACCUCGAAUCAGGUAGGAAUACCCGCUGAACUUAAGCAUAUCAAUAAGCGGAGG
rnacentral:misc_RNA from 1 species